rnacentral:rRNA from 1 species
CACGGAGGCCCCGAGCGUUGUUCGGAAUCACUGGGCUUAAAGCGCGUGUAGGCGGAACGGUAAGUACCUUGUGAAAUCCCCGGCUUCAAUCCGGGAACUGCUUGGUAUACUGUCGUUCUUGAGGCAGGUAGGGGUCACUGGAACCUUAGGUGGAGCGGUGAAAUGCGUAGAUAUCUAAGGGAACGCCUGUGGCGAAAGCGGGUGACUGGGCCUGUCCUGACGCUGAGACGCGAAAGCGUAGGGAGCAAACGGG